rnacentral:rRNA from 1 species
AGUGAACGCUGGCGGUAGGCCUAACACAUGCAAGUCGAACGGCAGCACAGUAAGAGCUUGCUCUUACGGGUGGCGAGUGGCGGACGGGUGAGGAAUACAUCGGAAUCUACUUUUUCGUGGGGGAUAACGUAGGGAAACUUACGCUAAUACCGCAUACGACCUACGGGGGAAAGCAGGGGAUCUUCGGACCUUGCGCGAUUGAAUGAGCCGAUGUCGGAUUAGCUAGUUGGCGGGGUAAAGGCCCACCAAGGCGACGAUCCGUAGCUGGUCUGAGAGGAUGGUCAGCCACCCUGGAACUGAGACACGGCCCAGACUCCUACGGGAGGCAGCAGUGGGGAAUAUUGGACAAUGGGCGCAAGCCUGAUCCAGCCAUACCGCGUGGGUGAAGAAGGCCUUCGGGUUGUAAAGCCCUUUUGUUAGGAAAGAAAAGCAGCAGGUUAAUACCCCGCUGUUCUGACGGUACCCAAAGAAUAAGCACCGGCUAACUUCGUG